rnacentral:rRNA from 1 species
UGGGGAAUUUUGGACAAUGGCGCAAGCCUGAUCCAGCCAUGCCGCGUGCAGGAAGAAGGCCUUCGGGUUGUAAACUGCUUUUGUCAGGGAAGAAAUCCUUUGGGUUAAUACCUCGAAGGGAUGACGGUACCUGAAGAAUAAGCACCGGCUAACUACGUGCCAGCAGCCGCGGUAAUACGUAGGGUGCGAGCGUUAAUCGGAAUUACUGGGCGUAAAGCGUGCGCAGGCGGCUUUGCAAGACAGAUGUGAAAUCCCCCGGGCUCAACCUAGGGAACUGCAUUUGUGACUGCAAGGCUAGAGUGCGGCAGAGGGAGAUGGAAUUCCGCGUGUAGCAGUGAAAUGCGUNGAUAUGCGGAGGAACACCGAUGGCGAAGGCAAUCUCCUGGGCC